AGGGGAAUCUUGGACAAUGGGGGAAAGCCUGAUCCAGCCAUGCCGCGUGAGNGAUGAAGGCCUUCGGGUUGUAAAGAUCUUUCAUCUGGGAAGAUAAUGACGGUACCAGCAGAAGAAGCCCCGGCUAACUCCGUGCCAGCAGCCGCGGUAAUACGGAGGGGGCUAGCGUUGUUCGGAAUUACUGGGCGUAAAGCGCACGUAGGCGGAUCNGUNAGUCAGGGGUGAAAUCCCGGGGCUCAACCCCGGAACUGCCUUUGAUACUGCCGNUCUUGAGUUCGAGAGAGGUGAGUGGAAUUCCGAGUGUAGAGGUGAAAUUCGUAGAUAUUCGGAGGAACACCAGUGGCGAAGGCGGCUCACUGGCUCAGAUACUGACGCUGAGGUGCGAAAGCGUGGGGAGCAAACAGGAUUA
rnacentral:rRNA from 1 species